ensembl:lncRNA
AUAAAAACUAAUGACAGCAUUUAAAAUAAACAAAGAUGAAUAACAUAGAUGGGAACAUUUGACAAUGGAAUUGUAACAUUAUCAAAACUGAUUUUUCAGAUAUGCAGAGUAGAAGAUGUGGAGAUUCAAAUUUUUAACUUGGGUGUGUGUUUGAAAUAUGAAAAUAUUGGUUGACAUCGUUGACAUACUGUUAUUAAAGAUAGGAAUAUGUAUGAAGCAUAGAUUCAAAAGCUCUAUUAACAGAACUAUAACCUGUUAGAAUCUGCCAUUUAUUUCAGAUGUAUUCUGUAACUGUUCACAGUCUCAAUACUUAAAGUGAUGACAGAUUGUUUCCAAAAGUGCUCAGUCACAUUUUUCAUAAGACUAACAUGGAAUUUUUGAUUUAUUUAAAUAUAUAAACCUGUUGAAAGUAAUAAUUGAAAUUCUUGUCUUUGUAGGAUCACAGUAAUAUAUAGAUUUCUAAUAUAGUCCAAGUUUGUCUAUGAAAAAACACCAGCAAGCAGGUUAUGUCCUACAACUAUCGUCUCACUGUGAAUGACUAAGACUAAAAUUGAACUCUCUUCCUUAAACAACGAGAAACAUGAAGUGCACUCAGGAGCAGAUUCGAGCGCAGGCUCAGAGUGAAGUUAACAGAAAAUGUUCUUUACAUCAUCAUCAUCAUCAUUUAUUUAUAUAUCACUUUGGUCUAACAGGUGUGUUUGUAAAGUGCUGUACAAUAGAAAUAGAAAUAUAGUAAUAAAAUAGAAAAAAACAGACAAGUAUGUGUAUGUGAUGCAAAAGGUAAAAUUAAAAACAAGGCUAGAAUGCGUGAAUGUUAACUUUGAGUUCUACAACUAGGAGCAAAAUGCUGUGAACAUGGACUACGGUAGUUCAUACUCGAGGGAACAGUAACAUGACCUGUGGCUGCUGGAGCUCGGUGGAGUAAUGCACGAAUGGAUAAAAAGGAGUGAGAGGUUAUCAGCUGUUGAGGAGCAAAUGGAGAUCCGUGUCCAGGGGAGUGAGGCUAUUGCGAGUGUGAAAGGUUGUCCAGGAAGUAACUAAGAAGACAUGAACAGAGAGGUGGUGAUCCUCGGUGGAGUGAUGAAGUAGAGCAGCCAGCACCCCAAGUAGAGCAGGCACUGUGGAAAAAUAGU